rnacentral:rRNA from 1 species
UACGGGGGGAGCAAGCGUUGUUCGGAUUUACUGGGCGUAAAGCGCGUGUAGGCGGCCACGCAGGUCCGUUGUGAAAACUAGAGGCUCAACCUCUAGACGUCGACGGAAACCGUGUGGCUAGAGUCCGGAAGAGGAGAGUGGAAUUCCUGGUGUAGCGGUGAAAUGCGCAGAUAUCAGGAAGAACACCAAUGGCGAAGGCAGCUCUCUGGGACGGUACUGACGCUGAGACGCGAAAGCGUGGGGAGCGAACAGG